GAUACCUCCAUUCCUACCUCACUUCUGAUACAUGGAGUGGACUUGAGUAAGUUAAAUGGGCAUGUAAUGUGACCCCACUACUUUUCUCUGUUUCUUGUACUUUGUUGCCUUUUGCCUUUACUUACUCUAAAAUCUGUGGAAAUCUUAUAUAAUCCCACCCAGCCCAGAUGUUUUCUCUUUCAUGAAGUUUUUCUUGUUCAUUCUUGUAAGAAGUAGUAUGUCAUUUUCUAAUCUCUGGUAAAAUCAUUUAUUUCAUUCAUCAUACAUUUAUUUGGAUUUAGAACUACUGUGUUUGUCUUUGAAGGCAAGGACAACUGUCUUUGAAUCCAUGUAACAUCUCUACAAUCCCUUAUAUACUAAGUCCCCCAUAAAUAUUUCUCAAAUAAAUGCUUGCAAAAGUGUGCUUCAUUAAAAAAAAAA
rnacentral:lncRNA from 1 species